AGCUUAGAUCAAAUGUUGAUCAGUAUGUUUAGUGUGCAAGUUGCUGAGGAACUCUCAUGACCUUGUCCAGGAAUUUAGUCUAUGAAGCAGCAAUGUUGGUGCCUGCUGAUGCAGGUGUGGCCUUGGGUGCAAGGAAGAGUUGGGAAGGACAUCAUAAUAGGCUAAUACAUACUAUUAAGCAUCCUUAGAUGUAUAUUUAAAUUAUGAAAAAUCAAUUUAAAAUAUUCUUUGAAAAUGGCAUUAGGGUUGAAAGCAUAAGGGCCCACACUAAUGAAACAUGUGUCACCCAAAUUACUAAAUGCUGUCCCACUUUACCACAAACACCUCCCUGUAAAAUAGUUUUGUGGUAUGAUACAAUACAACUUUGUUGUCAGUUUGCACUGAAAUUCAUUUUGCAUCCAUAGGCAGCUCAGUUUGAUAGAAAGUACAGAGAAAGACAUACUGUUACCACAGACAGACAGACAAGUAAGUUAUUAUUCUAGUUAUUAUUAUUCAUACAUAACCCAUUACAAAAUUACCAUCUGUCCUCUGGAUUUACAUGUCUUUAGCAGCACAUUAUUUAUUAUUUAGCAAUUUAUUAUUAGGUAACUUCAACAAAAUGGUGAGCCAUGCUUUGUAAAAAAAAAAAUUUAAAAAAAUCAUACAAUAAAGUCGACACCUUGAUGAAUUCAGAAAUGUAUGUGUUGGGUUAUUUUUUUUUUUUUAAUUGAUUUACAAAAAAAAACUUGCUGAAUUCACCCCAGUGGCAUUUAAAGCACUCCUAACCAAUUCCUGUAAAACCAGAAGCCAAUUCCCGUAAACCCUUUAAAAACCUUUCAGUUUCCUUCUGACUGCCAGGUGGGAAGUUAUUCACACGGAAUUCCCCGUUUGGAAAAAGAAACUCUUACAGUUCCCAACAGUAAAGCAGCCAGUCGCUCGGAGAGGAGAAGGCAAGUGGACGCAUGCAAGUGUAGUCGGCUCCGGUAAUUACAGACAUCCAUCAGGAUUAUGACAGCGGUGUCCUGAAGCAUUACGCCGUGGGAGCCAGAACGUGAUCAGGGUAACCCCCGACAACCUCAAAUACACAGAUGUUGUUCCGCAGCAAGAUGCCUCUUGUUUCCUUGUGCGUUGUGAUUCACUUACAAACUAUGCGUGCUGUGUGCUGAGACAGAAAACAUCAAAGGUGUUACAUUGCUUUCACUUUGAUUACCCGUGGUUAUCAUGUGUGUGCCGAUGCAAACUUUCCAUCUGUUUCACCAGUUACUUUCUUCCUUUAAUGUUGAGGAUACAUAUCGAAUAUUGGAAUGAAGGAAGUGCAUAAACAAAUUAUUUUUGUUUUUUAUGGCCACCAUGGACUUUUAGAUGAGUGACGUUUGCAAUGUGUUGACAGUCAAGUUAAUCUAGGUUGUCAAAUACAAAGUACAUGCUGUAUCAUGCAUUGUGUCUUCUUUCCUGAGACACUAUAAUGCCAAAAAUAAUCAGAAUAAAAGAAAUGAUCUAACAAAUGAUAAAGUAACUUGUCCCUCUAAACAGGUUUACCUUUAACAAAAUACUGAAUAGUGAAUUAAAGCGGCCCUUAAUAUACUACUGUGGUAUUUUAACAAUAAUUAACUUGACUUAUAUUGCAUUUUUCUAUUGCCAAAUUGCAAACUGCAGCUGAGUGUAAUAUAAUUUUAGGACUGUA